AUGGAGAUGAGGAUCCUUUCCCCAGCUGAUCGACUAUGAUUAUACUGUGCGCAACUGCGACGCCUCCUCUGCGGAGGAGGGUCCCAAGCCAGAAAUCUGAUCCAU
rnacentral:snoRNA from 1 species